AAAAUCUAUGACCUUAAUGGCAUAAUUUGAGAUUUUUUUAUGGCAAAUAGUAGCUUAGAGUGUAAUCUCAAGUAAUCAAGUACUGGCUUUUGUUAUUAGGAUUUUUUUGUCAUAAUUAAAUGCAAAAAAAUUAAAAACUAGUAUUGUGGUGGAUAAGAAGUGAAGAUGAUGUAAAAGUUGAGAUUUCCAUUUUGGUACCUCAUAUAAAGUGGGUGGAGGAAAUUAAAGAGAACAAAGAGCUUAUAAUUUUUGUUUGAUCAAUUAAGAGAGAAAUAUUGAGAUUAGUAGAGAAUUAGAUAUGUUAGAAGAAAUAAUUAA
rnacentral:lncRNA from 1 species